rnacentral:rRNA from 1 species
UGGGGAAUAUUGCACAAUGGGCGCAAGCCUGAUGCAGCCAUGCCGCGUGUAUGAAGAAGGCCUUCGGGUUGUAAAGUACUUUCAGCGGGGAGGAAGGCGAUAAGGUUAAUAACCUUGUCGAUUGACGUUACCCGCAGAAGAAGCACCGGCUAACUCCGUGCCAGCAGCCGCGGUAAUACGGAGGGUGCAAGCGUUAAUCGGCAUUACUGGGCGUAAAGCGCACGCAGGCGGUCUGUCAAGUCGGAUGUGAAAUCCCCGGGCUCAACCUGGGAACUGCAUUCGAAACUGGCAGGCUAGAGUCUUGUAGAGGGGGGUAGAAUUCCAGGUGUAGCGGUGAAAUGCGUAGAGAUCUGGAGGAAUACCGGUGGCGAAGGCGGCCCCCUGGACAAAGACUGACGCUCAGGUGCGAAAGCGUGGGGAGCAAACA